rnacentral:rRNA from 1 species
CCUGGCUCAGGAUGAACGCUAGCGGCAGGCCUAAUACAUGCAAGUCGGACGGGAUCCGCCUUCGGGGCGGUGAGAGUGGCGCACGGGUGCGUAACGCGUAUGCAACCAACCCCGUACCGGGGGACAGCCGGUGGAAACGCCGGGUAAUACCCCAUGCCGACCCUUGGGGGCAUCCCCGCGGGUCGAAAGCGGCGACGCGGUACGGGACGGGCAUGCGUCCCAUUAGCUAGUUGGCGGGGCGACGGCCCACCAAGGCGACGAUGGUAGGGGAUCUGAGAGGACGGUCCCCCACACUGGUACUGAGACACGGACCAGACUCCUACGGGAGGCAGCAGUAAGGAAUAUUGGGCAAUGGGGGGAACCCUGACCCAGCCAUGCCGCGUGAGGGAAUGAGGCCCUACGGGUCGUGAACCUCUUUUGCCGGGGGAUAAGGGCGCCGUCGCGAACGGCGCUUGCAGGUACCCGGCGAAUAAGCAUCGGCUAACUCCGUGCCAGCCGCGGC